AAGGAGAAUUACCUACUGUUUAAUUUUGAGGGUUCGUUUUUACGAAUACUCAAAAUUAGCACUUUUAGCAACAGAAUAAACUGAACGCAUGUGAAGUUUGUUUGUUGGCGUUGUGCGUUAGCACUUUAAGCAACGGGAUUUAUCCGUUGGCGCCGUGCUUUAGCACUUUGAAAACUGCAUAUAUAUAUUUAGUGAUAUGACAUCUAAUUUGUAAUAUAUAAAGCUGAUAACUUUUUAAAAUUAUCGAAGUUGAUAGCUUCUAAUCUAUCAAACCUUUUUAAC
rnacentral:misc_RNA from 1 species